rnacentral:rRNA from 1 species
CACGUAGGGGGACGAGCGUUGUCCGGAUUCAUUGGGCGUAAAGCGCGCGUAGGCGGCUCGGAAAGUCGGUCGUGAAAUGCCGGGGCUCAACCCCGGGACUGCGUCCGAUACUUCCGGGCUGGAGGUAGGUAGGGGGAGAUCGGAAUUCCUGGUGUAGCGGUGAAAUGCGCAGAUAUCAGGAGGAACACCGAUGGCGAAGGCAGGUCUCUGGGCAUUAACUGACGCUGAGGAGCGAAAGCAUGGGGAGCAACAGG